AUUGAACGCUGGCGGCAGGCCUAACACAUGCAAGUCGAGCGGAGGAAGUGAGCUGGCUCCUGGAUUCAGCGGCGGACGGGUGAGUAAUGCCUAGGAAUCUGCCUGGUAGUGGGGGAUAACGUCCGGAAACGGGCGCUAAUACCGCAUACGGCCUGAGGGAGAAAGUGGGGGAUCUUCGGACCUCACGCUAUCAGAUGAGCCUAGGUCUGAUUAGCUAGUUGGUGGGGUAAAGGCCUACUAAGGCGACGAUCCGUAACUGGUCUGAGAGGAUGAUCAGUCACACUGGAACUGGGGAGCGGUCCAGACCCCUACGGGAGGGAGCAGUGGCGAAUACUGGCGAAUGGGCGAAAGGCUGAUCCAGCCAUGACGCGUGUGUGAAGAAGGCCUUCGGAUUGUAAAGCACUUUAAGUUGGGAGGAAGGGCAGUAAGUUAAUACCUUGCUGUUUUGACGUUACCAAAAGAAUAAGCACCGGCUAACUUCGUG
rnacentral:rRNA from 1 species